rnacentral:lncRNA from 1 species
UCUAAUUUAAUUCAUUUUCAGUUUCAGGAACUGUCAUGCCUGAAGCCCAUCACUGAGAAGUUGAUUUCUAGAGUGCUGCCACCUCAGCCUCAGGAGGUUUGCCAUCCAUGCUGAGGUGGUCCUCAAGCUGAUCAGCAUCCAGAGGAUUCAGCAGAGCUGGACUGUGGGAAAACUGUGGGAAGGCUUCUUGAGGAACAAGGAAGUCCAAAAGCUCCUAUUCAAGAAUGCAACAGUUGAGGGACAUAUUUUGCUGACACUUCAAACUAGGUUGUAAUUACUGUUUCAUAGUGCAAAGA